ensembl:snRNA U4 U4 spliceosomal RNA
AGCUUCGGCAGUAGCAGCAUCGCAGCCAGUGAGGUUUACCCGAGGCGCGAUUACUGCUAACUGGAAAGUACACCACAGCCUUCCCUCCCACAGCUCGUCACAGGUUCAGCGUACAGGCCUCGUUAUGGGCUAGAGGUUCUCACUUUAAACCUUAAUUUUUGUGUAUUUGAGGACAGA